rnacentral:rRNA from 1 species
AAAUAAAAUAAAUAAGAAUAUGAUGUUGGUUCAGAUUAAGCGCUAAAUAAGGACAUGACACAUGCGAAUCAUACGUUUAUUAUUAAUAAGAUAAUAAAAAUGUGGUGUAAACGUGAGUAAUUUAUUAGGAAUUAAUGAACUAUAGAUUAAGCUAAAUACUUAAUAAAAAAUAUAAAAAAGUAUAUAUAAUAAUAUAAAGAAUAUUAAUAAUAUUAAUAUUUAUCUAUAGUCAAGCCAAUAAUGGUUUAGGUAGUAGGUUUAAUAAAAGUGAACCUAGCCAACGAUCCAUAAUCGAUAAUGAAAGUUAGAACGAUCACGUUGACUCUGAAAUAUAGUCAAUAUCUAUAUGAUACAGCAGUGAGGAAUAUUGGACAAUGAUCGAAAGAUUGAUCCAGUUACUUAUUAGGAUGAUAUAUAAAUAAUUAUAAAAUUUAUUAUAAAUAUUAUAAAAAAUAAUAUAUAUAAAUUGAUUAAAAAUAAAAUCCAUAAAUAAUUAAAAUAAUGAUAUUAAUUACUAUAUAUAAUAUAUAUAGAUAUAUACCCCGCGGCACAAACCCAGCUUAGCUGGGUUUGUGACCGCGGGUACGAUAUAAUAAAUAUAAUAAUAUGUAAAAAUAAUAUUAUAUAAUUAUGUUGUAGUAUAUUUUAAUAGUCCUGACAAAUAUUUGUGCCAGCAGUCGCGGUAACACAAAGAGGGCGAGCGUUAAUCACAAUGGUUUAAAGGAUCCGUAGAAUGAAUUAAUAAAUAAUUUAGAGUUAAUAGAUUUAAUUAAAGAAUUAUAAUAGUAAAGAUGAAAUAAUAAUAAUAAUUAUAAGACUAAUAUAUGUGAAAAUAUUAAUUAACUAUUAACUGACAUUGAGGGAUUAAAACUAGAGUAGCGAAACGGAUUCGAUACCCGUGUAGUUCUAGUAGUAAACUAUGAAUACAAUUAUAAAUCUAAUAUUUAGAUAAAUAAUAAAUGAAAAUGUAAGUAUUCCACCUGAAGAGUACGUUAGCAAUAAUGAAACUCAAAACAAUAGACGGUUACAGACUUAAGCAGUGGAGCAUGUUAUUUAAUUCGAUAAUCCACGACUAAUCUUACCAUAUUUUGAAUAUUAUAAUAAUUAAUUUAAUUAUUAUAUUACAGGCGUUACAUUGUUGUCUUUAGUUCGUGCUGCAAAGUUUUAGAUUAAGUUCAUAAACGAACAAAACUCCAUAUAUAUAAUCUUAAUUAUAUAUAAUUUUUAUAUUAUUUAUUAAUAUAAAGAAAGGAAUUAAGACAAAUCAUAAUGAUCCUUAUAAUAUGGGUAAUAGACGUGCUAUAAUAAAAUGAUAAUAAAAUUAUAAAAAAAUAUAAUAUAUUUAAUUAAUAAUAUAAAACAUUUUAAUUUUUAAUAUAUUUAUAUAUUAUAUAUUAAUAUGAAUUAUAAUCUGAAAUUCGAUUAUAUGAAAAAAGAAUUGCUAGUAAUACGUAAAUUAGUAUGUUACGGUGAAUAUUCUAACUGUUUCGCACUAAUCACUCAUCACGCGUUGAAACAUCUUAUUAUCCUAUUAUAUAAUAUAAUUUAAUAAAUAUUUAAUGAUUAUUUAUUAUUAUUAUAUUUAUAUCAGAAAUAAUAUGAAUUAAUGCGAAGUUGAAAUACAGUUACCGUAGGGGAACCUGCGGUGGGCUUAUAAAUAUCUUAAAUAUUCUUCCA